CAGUAAAAAAAAGUGCUCACUGCAGGGUCUGCAUGAGAGAAGAAGGAGUAGGAGCCCAGUGUUCUGCAGAGCCCAGGUCACAGGGGAUGCAUGGAGCACGUGCAGGUGGCCUGAGGGCAGUAGGGGACCAGCUUCCCUUUCUAUGUUUAAAGAGCCCUGUCAUGAACACUCUGAUGUGCGUCAUUUCCUGGGGGGGCCCUCCUAGCCUGGAGCUCGCCUGGCAUCUGUCUGGCUCAAGAUUUAGAAACCAGGACUCAAAGCUUGCCCAAAGCGAGACAGAUGAUAAAUGGACACCCUUCCUGUGACACCCCAACAGAGCUAGGGGCUGAAGUCAUGCAGCUCACACAGGGCUCUGAGAGAGCCCUGAGCUCCUCUCCUCUGGUCUUCAGGUCUCUGAAGCUUGGGCUGACUGAAGAUACAGAAGAAAUACAAGGAGGUGCCCAGGAGCCAGAGGGAGACAUUUAUCUUCCCCUGAUAAGAAAGUGUCUUGUCCUCCCUAUCCAGGGUAACUCAUGAAUUCCCGCAAUAAAAACAUUCGUUGAC